rnacentral:rRNA from 1 species
CGCUGGCGGCAGGCCUAACACAUGCAAGUCGAGCGGAAACGAGUUAUCUGAACCUUCGGGGAACGAUAACGGCGUCGAGCGGCGGACGGGUGAGUAAUGCCUAGGAAAUUGCCCUGAUGUGGGGGAUAACCAUUGGAAACGAUGGCUAAUACCGCAUGAUGCCUACGGGCCAAAGAGGGGGACCUUCGGGCCUCUCGCGUCAGGAUAUGCCUAGGUGGGAUUAGCUAGUUGGUGAGGUAAGGGCUCACCAAGGCGACGAUCCCUAGCUGGUCUGAGAGGAUGAUCAGCCACACUGGAACUGAGACACGGUCCAGACUCCUACGGGAGGCAGCAGUGGGGAAUAUUGCACAAUGGGCGCAAGCCUGAUGCAGCCAUGCCGCGUGUGUGAAGAAGGCCUUCGGGUUGUAAAGCACUUUCAGUCGUGAGGAAGGUGGUGUAGUUAAUAGCUGCAUUAUUUGACGUUAGCGACAGAAGAAGCACCGGCUAACUCCGUGCCAGCAGCCGCGGUAAUACGGAGGGUGCGAGCGUUAAUCGGAAUUACUGGGCGUAAAGCGCAUGCAGGUGGUUUGUUAAGUCAGAUGUGAAAGCCCGGGGCUCAACCUCGGAAUAGCAUUUGAAACUGGCAGACUAGAGUACUGUAGAGGGGGGUAGAAUUUCAGGUGUAGCGGUGAAAUGCGUAGAGAUCUGAAGGAAUACCGGUGGCGAAGGCGGCCCCCUGGACAGAUACUGACACUCAGAUGCGAAAGCGUGGGGAGCAAACAGGAUUAGAUACCCUGGUAGUCCACGCCGUAAACGAUGUCUACUUGGAGGUUGUGGCCUUGAGCCGUGGCUUUCGGAGCUAACGCGUUAAGUAGACCGCCUGGGGAGUACGGUCGCAAGAUUAAAACUCAAAUGAAUUGACGGGGGCCCGCACAAGCGGUGGAGCAUGUGGUUUAAUUCGAUGCAACGCGAAGAACCUUACCUACUCUUGACAUCCAGAGAACUUUCCAGAGAUGGAUUGGUGCCUUCGGGAACUCUGAGACAGGUGCUGCAUGGCUGUCGUCAGCUCGUGUUGUGAAAUGUUGGGUUAAGUCCCGCAACGAGCGCAACCCUUAUCCUUGUUUGCCAGCGAGUAAUGUCGGGAACUCCAGGGAGACUGCCGGUGAUAAACCGGAGGAAGGUGGGGACGACGUCAAGUCAUCAUGGCCCUUACGAGUAGGGCUACACACGUGCUACAAUGGCGCAUACAGAGGGCGGCCAACUUGCGAAAGUGAGCGAAUCCCAAAAAGUGCGUCGUAGUCCGGAUUGGAGUCUGCAACUCGACUCCAUGAAGUCGGAAUCGCUAGUAAUCGUGGAUCAGAAUGCCACGGUGAAUACGUUCC